rnacentral:lncRNA from 10 species
GCCAGGCGUGGUGGCGGGCGCCUGUAAUCCCAGCUACUGAGGAGGCUGAGGCGUGAGAAUCGCUUGAACCUGGGAGGCAGAGGUUGCAGUGAGCUGAGAUCACGCCACUGCACUCCAGCCUGGGUGACAGAGUGAGAUUCAAAAAAUAAAAAUAAAUGGUUAACACGGCAAAUUUUGUUAUAUAGGCACACACAUAUAUAUUUUGAGACAGAGUCUCGCUCUGUCGCCCAGGCUGGAGUACAGUGGCACAAUCUCAGCUCACUGCAACUUCCACUUCCCAGGUUCAAGCGAUCCUCCUGC